UGAGUAACACGUAUGCAACCUGCCUGCCACAGCCGGAUAAUCGGGAGAAAUUUCGUCUAAUACGGCAUAAUGCAUCGACGGGACAUCCUGUUGGUGCCAAAGGUUGAUUCCGGUGGCGGAUGGGCAUGCGUCGCAUUAGUUAGUUGGCGGUGUAACGGACCACCAAGACGACGAUGCGUAGGGGUUCUGAGAGGAAGGUCCCCCACACUGGUACUGAGACACGGACCAGACUCCUACGGGAGGCAGCAG
rnacentral:rRNA from 1 species